UGCUAUCUUUAGUUGUGGCCAUCCAUUGUUUACCCAAAGCAACUAGCUCCCUCUUUCGUUUUCUUCUAAUUUCCACCACCACCAGUGAAAGUUUUCCCUUCUCCGCUAUCACCUUUGCCUCUAUCUCCACUUUUUCCUGCAAGCACCAUUAAAACUUACCCUAUCUUCAAACCAAAACCCAGAAAAUGAAAAAGAAAGGGAUUUUAAGAUUUUAUCAAAUACGAAGAUUAUCUUCAAUCCUGGCUGUUGAAU
rnacentral:lncRNA from 1 species